AGGGAUAUAGUUUAAAAAACAUUUAAUUUGCAUUUAAAAAAUACUAGUCUUAGUUUUCCUUA
rnacentral:tRNA from 1 species